rnacentral:rRNA from 1 species
GGAGUUUGGACCGUGUCUCAGUUCCAAUGUGGGGGACCUUCCUCUCAGAACCCCUACUGAUCGAUGGCUCGGUGGGCCGUUACCCCGCCGACUGCCUAAUCAGACGCAUCCCCAUCCCUUACCGAUGAAUCUUUGCUCCUCGUUAGAUGCCCGCAAAGGAAACCAUAGGGCAUUAAUCUUACUUUCGCAAGGCUAUUCCCUACUUAUGGGCAGGUUGGAUACGCGAUACUCACCCGUGCGCCGGUCGUCAUCAAAGAAAGCAAGCUUUCUUCAUGUUACCCCUCGACUUGCAUGUGUUAAGCCUGUAGCUAGCGUUCAUC